rnacentral:rRNA from 1 species
UGGGGAAUCUUGCACAAUGGGGGAAACCCUGAUGCAGCGACGCCGCGUGAGCGAUGAAGCCUUUCGGGGUGUAAAGCUCUUACGCCAGGGACGAUAGUGACGGUACCUGGAGAAGCAGCUGCGGCUAACUACGUGCCAGCAGCCGCGGUAAUACGUAGGCAGCAAGCGUUGUUCGGAAUUACUGGGCGUAAAGGGUGCGUAGGCGGUGCUCUAAGUUUGGUGUGAAAUCUCCCGGCUUAACUGGGAGGGUGCGCCGAAAACUGGAGUGCUUGAGUGUGGGAGAGGAAAGCGGAAUUCCUGGUGUAACGGUGAAAUGCGUAGAGAUCAGGAGGAACACCUGCGGUGUAGACGGCUUUCUGGACCAUAACUGACGCUGAGGCACGAAAGCGUG